rnacentral:ncRNA from 2 species
UUGCUAACGCGGGGGUCCUGCAAUGCGCUCGAUCAAACAACGAGCUUUGCGGGUGAGAAAUACCCUUUGAACCUGAUCUGGGUAAUGCCAGCGCAGGGAAGCGUCCGGGUCUCGCCA